AACGAACGCUGGCGGCAUGCCUAACACAUGCAAGUCGAACGAGACCUUCGGGUCUAGUGGCGCACGGGUGCGUAACGCGUGGGAACCUGCCCUUAGGUUCGGAAUAACUCCCCGAAAGGGGUGCUAAUACCGGAUAAUGUCUUCGGACCAAAGAUUUAUUGCUUUUGGAUGGGCGCGCGUUGGCUUAGCUAGUUGGUAGUGUAAAAGCCUACCAAGGCGACGAUCCAUAGCUGGUCUGAGAGGAUGAUCAGCCACACUGGGACUGAGACCCGGCCCAGACUCCUACGGAACGCAGGAGUGGGGAAUAUUGGACACUGGGCGAAAGCCUGAUACAGCAGUGCCGCGUGAGUGAUGAAGGCAUUAGGGUUGUAAAGCUCUUUUACACGGGAUGAUAAUGACAGUAACGGGAGAAUAAGCACCGGCUAACUCCGUG
rnacentral:rRNA from 1 species